rnacentral:rRNA from 1 species
GGCGAUCAGAUACCGCCCUAGUUCUGACCGUAAACGAUGCCAACUAGCGAUCCGCCGGCGGAUUCAUUCGCCCUGGUGGGGAGCUUCCCGGAAACGAAAGUCUUCCGGUUCCGGGGGAAGUAUGGUUGCAAAGCUGAAACUUAAAGGAAUUGACGGAAGGGCACCACCAGGAGUGGAGCCUGCGGCUUAAUUUGACUCAACACGGGGAAACUCACCCGGCCCGGACACCGUAAGGAUUGACAGAUUGAUAGCUUUUUCAUGAUUCGGUGGAUGGUGGUGCAUGGCCGUUCUUAGUUCGUGGAGCGAUUUGUCUGGUUUAUUCCGAUAACGAGCGAGACUCUGGCCUACUAAAUAGUUGGCACAUUGCCACUGUGUGCCCAACUUCUUAGAGGGAUUUUCGGUGUUCAGCCGCACGAAAUUGAGCAAUAACAGGUCUGUGAUGCCCUUAGAUGUCCGGGGCUGCACGCGCGCUACACUGGCAAAAUCAGCGUGCUUGUCCUCCCCCGAAAGGGGUUGGUAACCGAUGAAAAUUGGCCGUGAUUGGGAUCGGACAUUGCACUAUUGUCGUGAACGAGGAAUCCCUUGUUAGGGGCGAGUCAUCAACUCGUUCCCGAUAACGUCCCUGCCCUUUGUA